AGGUUUAGUUUUGAAUCACAAAGAAAGGGAUUUAUUUUCUGCUUUCAAAUAAUAAGUGAUUUCAUUCUUACCUUACUCCUAAAACGGAAGAGUACUGGGGAGGCUUCCUCCUAUUUUCACUUUUCCCUGCCAUGUUUUGCACUCCUCUAGUCUAGUCCAUGCCUUUAACAGCAGCCUUAUAAGCAGAAGUUAAAUAUGCAAAGCUUUCGCUCUCUUUAUAUGUGUAGCAGAAAAAUAAUAAUGGGUUUCAUUUAUGUAUUUACUGCUGCUGUUUUUUUUCCAAAAAACUGAAGCCACACACUUUAACAGAAUAUUAUAAUUAGUGCAGAAUGGCUGCGCCACAUGAUCCUUGCACACCUGAAUAGAAAUCUACUAUUUGCCUACUCUAAUUAUGAACAGCAACAAAAGUGUGAAAUGAAGACUGGAUAAGUUGCUUUCAGAGCUGUUUUAGCUGAAAAGGGAUGAAUUAAAUAAUUCCAUGCCUGAAUAAAGGAGAAAAGGCCCCGGUUUCCUAUGGUAUACCCCUGUGUCUGUUGAAGAUGUAGUGAAGCAACAACACCAAUGAGGACUGCAGGAGAAUAUUUUAUGCCACAAGUAAGUCCUCGAAGAGCCUUUUCCACCAAGAGUUCCAGGAGCCAGGAGAUACUGCUCCCAUCUUCCUGAAGAACCCUACAAGAUUCAAGCACAGUGGCAUUGCCUAUCUCGAUAAUCUGCAAAGCGAUCUUAACCACAUCUACUCCGAACUUCUGCUGAAUUCAAUGGUGCUUACUCCCAGAUAAGAAUAAAAUACUACCUCUGAAGUCCUGCACUUCUAACCUGUCCUGGCAGUUUUUACUAACCAAGAAGGGCAAAGAUCUAGAGAACAGGAGGUAGCUUCACCUGAAGAAGAGCAGCCUGAAGUGAGAGACAGUGGAGUGACUCCAACUGCAGCUGAUCAGCCUUCAAGGACUCAGAGAAGGCACUGAUGAGAACCAGCUGGCUUCAGUAAGCAGAGCUUCCAGCAGCAGUCAGAUGAUGGUAACAAGGCUUGUAAUUCCUAGCCGGAACUUGCUGCUUUCUGCUCAUCUUGAUUCUUGAUUCCGGACCCCAAGAUCAUCAGAUUCCCUGAACCCUGGACUGUCUGACCACAUGGAUUGCUGUUCACCUGACUCUAGGACUUGACCUACCUUUGGAUGCUGACUUUGCUUCCAGAUCCAUCUGGAGUUUGCUGCUGCUAAGUCACUCCUGUUGCCCAGCAGCUUCCUCAUCCUACACGUGGAUACCCUUCACUGCCUGUUUGAUACUUUCCAGCAGAGCCUUGCAGUCCGGGGAAUACUCCCGUUCCAGAUUGCUGUACAUAUCUAUUGCUCUCCAUAGAUGUUAUCUGAAACCAUGAAGCAAAGCAAUGUAUGGUAGUGUGAACAGCAGAAGUAAACCAACGGCUGAAGAGUUCUCAAAAUGCUCCCAAAAAUGGUUAGUGUGCCUGAUAAAGCCUGACACAUUUUAGCGGGAAAGUAUGCUUUCGAAAAAUCCUUUCACUUUUUGCUUUAUGAGAAAGUAUAUUUGUAGUUCCUGAUGGAAGUGGGUUCUUCUUUUUAUUUUUUAUUUUUAUUAGUAUUAUUUUUCAGAAUCAUAUACAAUCUAGAAACAAAGAUAACCCAUACCCAACAGAACCAACCAAAAGUCCCUGGCGACCACCGAAAAUACAUUAUGAAAACUUGUGUUCCUGUAUGCAUACCCCAACUUACAACAUCUGUAAAACAUUUUCAUAUAGAUGGGUUCUUUUAAAUGUACAAUUAUGUGUUUUUGUGUGUGAUUGAUAUUGUCCCUGAAGAAGGAAAAUUCCCUGCUCCCGCAAAAUGCAUUGGGCCAAUGCACAUAAUUUAUUUUUCCAGGGGAUCAGGCUCUUUGCAAAGUUUUCUGUCUUUUGUAUUCCUGCAUUCAGUUCUGGUUACUGCGAACAGUGGGGUUCUUGGCCUAAAAUGCAGCUAUCAGAAGUGAUAGCCCAAGGCAGUGGAAGUUGCCUAUGCAGAAGUGAAGCUCAAGUCCUUUCUGUUCCAUGCACAUCAAUGUCAAAAGGCGCUCCUAAUUGGGGCGAGCCAUUUUAUUUCUAAGUCAGUGGAUUCUGCUGUUCUUUCAGAAGAGGAAUAUGUUUAAAUGAUGCUCUAGACAGUGACCCUGCUGGAUGAAAAGAGCAUUGUUUGUGGGAAGCGUGUUCAGAAAUGGACGAAAGACUGCAGGCCUCGAGCUGACAACUCAGGAGGAGUGUCUGAUUUAAAAUGAAGAGUUUUGCCCUGAGGGACUGGGGUAGGUAGGGAGCAAGCAAGCUGCUAUUUACAUUGCUGCCUUUUUCUCACAGCAUCGCUGCUGACUCACUACAAUAGCAGCAACCCUGGUUUUGGCUUUUGAGCUACUUUCCAGGGCAAGGUUAUGCUGUAGAGUGACUGAGUUUGAAGACAGGACAGAGUAUAAAAGCUAAAAAUAAAAAAGUAGAAUAAGAAAUGAAGGAGCUCACUUUGCAACAAUUCAUUGUAACAUAGGCCAGGCAUUAUAUAUAUUAUUUUGAGAGAAGCUGAGUGAAAAAUUGAGCUUGGGGCCGAGACCAUACAUUUUAAAAUCUAUAAUACCACUUUAAACAGUCAUGCCUCUCCCCCCAAAAAAGUCUGGCAACUGUAGUUUCUUCAGGGUGCUGCAAAUUGUUAGGAGACUUCUAUCCCCUCAGAAAGCUGUAAUUCCCAGUUCCUUGGGAAGAGGGAUUGGUUGUUAAACCACUGGAAAUUUUAGCUCUGUGAGGGGAAUAGGGGUCUCCUAACAAGUCUUAACACCUUAACAAACUACAAUCCCCAGGAUUAUGGAGGGAGGGUGACUAUUGGAUGUGACAGCUCUCAUAACAUACACUUCAGUAUACUAUUUAUAUUUCAAGGAGGAAAAAUGAAUGCACUGAAAACAGUUAACAUACCCAGCUCAGCCCAACUCAGAGUAGACUAAUUGAAAAAAAUGGACAUAGCUAAGUUAGGUCCAUUCAUUUCAAUGGAUCUAAUCUGAGUAAGACUUAGUUGAAUACCAUCUCUGAUUUUUAGCAUGCCUGAGGAGCUGUGUACACACACAAACACAUAUCCUUGGAAAAAGUUAAUUACAAUUUGAAUUUAAGAUUUAGCUGGUAUUUUUUUCCAUUCCAGUUGCCCAAUUUUACUUACAUUGUGCUCAUUCAUUAGACUAAUUUGAUGAAACAAUGCAUUUUUAAAAGUGGAAAAUUUGCCAUAAUAUAUAUAUUUGUGGAAAUUUAAUUGAGCAAAUCAUUAGCUUUCCAUAAUAGCAUGAUUCUUUUUUUCAAAAAUGGGCUGCAGAUUCAGUUAAACAACUGCAUAAGCAACAACAAAUUUGGCUUUCAGUCGGAACAUAAAAAAGCCUGCUUGGUCAGGCCAAUGGCAAAUCUAGUCUAAUAUCCUCUUCUCCCAGUGGCUAACCAGGUGCCUGGGGAAAACCCACAAGCAGGUUUCAAGCACAAGAGCUCUGUCCCCAAC